AUGAACGCUGGCGGCGUGCCUAAUACAUGCAAGUCGAGCGAACAGACGAGGAGCUUGCUCCUCUGACGUUAGCGGCGGAUGGGUGAGUAACACGUGGAUAACCUACCUAUAAGACUGGGAUAACUUCGGGAAACCGGAGCUAAUACCGGAUAAUAUAUUGAACCGCAUGGUUCAAUAGUGAAAGACGGUUUUGCUGUCACUUAUAGAUGGAUCCGCGCCGCAUUAGCUAGUUGGUAAGGUAACGGCUUACCAAGGCAACGAUGCGUAGCCGACCUGAGAGGGUGAUCGGCCACACUGGAACUGAGACACGGUCCAGACUCCUACGGGAGGCAGCAGUAGGGAAUCUUCCGCAAUGGGCGAAAGCUUGACGGAGCAACGCCGCGUGAGUGAUGAAGGUCUUCGGAUCGUAAAACUCUGUUAUUAGGGAAGAACAAAUGUGUAAGUAACUAUGCACGUCUUGACGGUACCUAAUCAGAAAGCCACGGCUAACUACGUG
rnacentral:rRNA from 1 species